GGGGGUGGGGGGGCGGAUCGCCCUCUGCCGGCCUGCGCUGCAGCCGCAACACCCAUCUUUACUGCCUCCUCUCCCUGCAAAUGAGGAGAGUCUAAAACAGGCAUUAACUAAAUGCUGCCGGUUGUGCUAGUUUUAACCUCAUUUCAAUCUGUGCCAUGUUUACGGACGUGAGACAAGUGCAGCCUCAAUAAUAAAUGUCCAUCUCUUCUUAGCCAAUGGAGACCUCAGGGCCACCUCAACAACUACACGUGUACUGGAGGAACGUGGGGUGUUCUCUGCAUAAACCUCUCUGGAGGUGAACAUCAGCAAUACAGAAAUCGAACAAGAGAGGCAUUUUCAUAGAAGAGUUACGCAGAAAAUGGGACGACCUCAGGGGAGGAAAGUGACAGCGUUUGGAGGUGAGAGUUCCAAAGUAGCCGAGGAUGCUCUGCUGGCGAGGGCACACCUUGUUGAAUUCGGCAAACCAGGUAAGGUGGAGGGAGAGAGACGUACAUGCUGAGCCCUUUUAAAGUGAUGUGAUCGUUUAAGUGACUGGGGCUAGGCUGGGGGUGGGGUGGGGGGGCGGUCAAAGAGCGGGUAAGGGGUAUCAGAAGGGACCGCACACAGCCUCGGAGCUCCCUUCCUGUGUGUUUGCCAACACAAAGCAACAUCCUCUCUCUGUCUAUUUGAAAGACACGUGUGCGCAACCCACCUGGCCGAACCUCUCCUUCACUGCCACCUCUCCUCCACUGAGUACGUGAAAGCCUGGACUCCCAAGGCUUUCAGUUUCGGAAUAAGCACCCAUGAUGAAGAGUCACAGAAAAUCUAAGAAAGUGGGAGCUUGGCAUCUCCUCACUUCAUCUCAGAUGUCGCAGAGCUUAAGCAAUGGUGAACAUCGCCUUGUGCUGUUUGGCACCUCGUUCUUGCUCCUGGAAACGUCUAGAAACACUUGCUGUCAAAGCCACGAGACAUAGAGA